AUCCAGCUGACGAGUCCCAAAUAGAACGAAACGCUAGUCCCGGAU
rnacentral:hammerhead_ribozyme from 1 species